GAUGAACGUUAGCGGGAGGCCUAACACAUGCAAGCCGAGCGGUAUUGUUUCUUCGGAAAUGAGAGAGCGGCGUACGGGUGCGGAACACGUGUGCAACCUGCCUUUAUCUGGGGGAUAGCCUUUCGAAAGGAAGAUUAAUACUCCAUAAUAUAUUGAACGGCAUCGUUUAAUAUUGAAAGCUCCGGCGGAUAGAGAUGGGCACGCGCAAGAUUAGCUAGUUGGUGAGGUAACGGCUCACCAAGGCGAUGAUCUUUAGGGGGCCUGAGAGGGUGAUCCCCCACACUGGUACUGAGACACGGACCAGACUCCUACGGGAGGCAGCAGUGAGGAAUAUUGGUCAAUGGGUGCAAGCCUGAACCAGCCAUCCCGCGUGAAGGACGACUGCCCUAUGGGUUGUAAACUUCUUUUGUAUAGGGAUAAACCUACCCUCGUGAGGGUAGCUGAAGGUACUAUACGAAUAAGCACCGGCUAACUCCGUGCCAGCAGCCGCGGUAAUACGGAGGGUGCAAGCGUUAUCCGGAUUUAUUGGGUUUAAAGGGUCCGUAGGCGGACUUAUAAGUCAGUGGUGAAAGCCUGUCGCUUAACGAUAGAACUGCCAUUGAUACUGUAAGUCUUGAGUAUAUUUGAGGUAGCUGGAAUAAGUAGUGUAGCGGUGAAAUGCAUAGAUAUUACUUAGAACACCAAUUGCGAAGGCAGGUUACCAAGAUAUAACUGACGCUGAGGGACGAAAGCGUGGGGAGCGAACAGGAUUAGAUACCCUGGUAGUCCACGCCGUAAACGAUGCUAACUCGUUUUUGGGCUUUAGGGUUCAGAGACCAAGCGAAAGUGAUAAGUUAGCCACCUGGGGAGUACGCUCGCAAGAGUGAAACUCAAAGAAAUUGACGGGGGCCCGCACAAGCGGUGGAUUAUGUGGUUUAAUUCGAUGAUACGCGAGGAACCUUACCAAGACUUAAAUGGGAAUUGACAGCUUUAGAAAUAGAGCUUUCUUCGGACAAUUUUCAAGGUGCUGCAUGGUUGUCGUCAGCUCGUGCCGUGAGGUGUUAGGUUAAGUCCUGCAACGAGCGCAACCCCUGUCACUAGUUGCCAUCAUUCAGUUGGGGACUCUAGUGAGACUGCCUACGCAAGUAGAGAGGAAGGUGGGGAUGACGUCAAAUCAUCACGGCCCUUACGUCUUGGGCCAAACACGUAAUACAAUGGCCGGUACAGAGGGCAGCUACACAGCGAUGUGAUGCAAAUCUCGAAAGCCGGUCUCAGUUCGGAUUGGAGUCUGCAACUCGACUCUAUGAAGCUGGAAUCGCUAGUAAUCGCGCAUCAGCCAUGGCGCGGUGAAUACGUUCCCGGGCCU
rnacentral:rRNA from 1 species